rnacentral:rRNA from 1 species
GGAGUAUUGGGCAAUGGAGGAAACUCUGACCCAGCGACGCCGCGUGCGGGAUGAAGGCCUUCGGGUUGUAAACCGCUUUCAGUAGGGAAGAAGCGAAAGUGACGGUACCUACAAAAGAAGCACCGGCUAACUAUGUGCCAGCAGCCGCGGUAAUACAUAGGGUGCAAGCGUUGUCCGGAAUUAUUGGGCGUAAAGAGCUCGUAGGUCGUUUGUUACGUCGGAUGUGAAAACCUGAGGCUCAACCUCAGGCCUGCAUUCGAUACGGGCAAACUAGAGUUUGGUAGGGGAGACUGGAAUUCCUGGUGUAGCGGUGGAAUGCGCAGAUAUCAGGAGGAACACCAAUGGCGAAGGCAGGUCUCUGGGCCAAUACUGACACUGAGGAGCGAAAGUCUGGGGAGCGAACAGGAUUAGAUACCCUGGUAGUCCAGACCGUAAACGGUGGGCACUAGUUGUGGGAACCUUCCACGGUUUCUGCGACGCAGCUAACGCAUUAAGUGCCCCGCCUGGGGAGUACGAUCGCAAGAUUAAAACUCAAAGGAAUUGACGG